rnacentral:rRNA from 1 species
GGUUAAGUGACUAAGCGUACACGGUGGAUGCCUUGGCAGUCAGAGGCGAUGAAAGACGUAGUAACUUGCGAUAAGCCCAGAUUAGGUAGUAACAACCAUUUGAGUCUGGGAUUUCUGAAUGGGGAAACCCACGUGCAUAAGCACGUAUCCUUACCUGAAUACAUAGGGUAAGGAGGCGAACCGGGGGAACUGAAACAUCUAAGUACCCCGAGGAAAAGAAAUCAACCGAGAUUCCGAAAGUAGCGGCGAGCGAAAUUGGACUAGCCCUUAAGCUUUACACGCGUUAGACGAACGGUCUGGAAAGUCCGACGAUACAGGGUGAUAGUCCCGUAGUUGACGACGUGUGUUCAGUGAAAUCGAGUAGGGCGGGACACGUGAUAUCCUGUCUGAAUAUGGGGGGACCAUCCUCCAAGGCUAAAUACUACUGACUGACCGAUAGUGAACCAGUACCGUGAGGGAAAGGCGAAAAGAACCCCUGUGAGGGGAGUGAAAUAGAACCUGAAACCGUGUACGUACAAGCAGUAGGAGCAGGCUUUGUCCUGUGACUGCGUACCUUUUGUAUAAUGGGUCAGCGACUUAUAUUCAGUGGCAAGGUUAACCAUCUAGGGGAGCCGUAGGGAAACCGAGUCUUAACUGGGCGUUCAGUCUCUGGAUAUAGACCCGAAACCAGGUGAUCUAGCCAUGGGCAGGUUGAAGGUUGAGUAACAUCAACUGGAGGACCGAACCGACUAAUGUUGAAAAAUUAGCGGAUGACUUGUGGCUAGGGGUGAAAGGCCAAUCAAACCUGGAGAUAGCUGGUUCUCCCCGAAAGCUAUUUAGGUAGCGCCUCGGACGAAUACUACUGGGGGUAGAGCACUGUUAAGGCUAGGGGGUCAUCCCGACUUACCAACCCUUUGCAAACUCCGAAUACCAGUAAGUACUAUCCGGGAGACACACGGCGGGUGCUAACGUCCGUCGUGGAGAGGGAAACAACCCAGACCGCCAGCUAAGGUCCCAAAUUACUACUAAGUGGGAAACGAUGUGGGAAGGCUCAGACAGCCAGGAUGUUGGCUUAGAAGCAGCCAUCAUUUAAAGAAAGCGUAAUAGCUCACUGGUCGAGUCGGCCUGCGCGGAAGAUGUAACGGGGCUAAGUAGUAAACCGAAGCUGCGGCAAUGUGCUUUUGCACAUUGGGUAGGGGAGCGUUCUGUAAGCGGUUGAAGGUGUGUGGUAACGCAUGCUGGACGUAUCAGAAGUGCGAAUGCUGACAUGAGUAACGAUAAAGGGGGUGAAAAACCUCCUCGCCGGAAGACCAAGGGUUCCUGUCCAACGUUAAUCGGGGCAGGGUAAGUCGACCCCUAAGGCGAGGCCGAAAGGCGUAGUCGAUGGGAAACGGGUUAAUAUUCCCGUACUUCUUACAAUUGCGAUGGGGGGACGGAGAAGGCUAGGUGGGCCUGGCGACGGUUGUCCAGGUUCAAGUGCGUAGGCUUAAGAGUUAGGUAAAUCCGGCUCUUUUUAAGGCUGAGACACGACGUCGAGCACCUACGGGUGUGAAGUCAUUGAUGCCAUGCUUCCAGGAAAAGCCUCUAAGCUUCAGAUUGUAAGGAAUCGUACCCCAAACCGACACAGGUGGUCGGGUAGAGAAUACCAAGGCGCUUGAGAGAACUCGGGUGAAGGAACUAGGCAAAAUGGUACCGUAACUUCGGGAGAAGGUACGCUCU